rnacentral:tRNA from 1 species
GCGGACGUAGCUCAGUUGGUUAGAGCGCUGGUCUGUGGAUCCGGAGGUCGUGGGUUCAAGCCCCAUCGUUCGCCCCA